AUCAGAAUCAGCUUUAAUACCAGCAGCUCGUGUCAUGGGAUUCGUUGUCUUUGUGGCAGCAGUACUAUGCUAUACAUGAUAAUCGAGAAACAAACACAGUGAACUACACUUACUUUGAUCCUGUACGGCAAUUCCCCAGAGAUGCAACCAAUGAGACUGCUCUCCACAGUGCAUCUGCAGAAAUUUGAUUUGCACCAUUUGUGGAAUCCCUUGUGCUGGUUGGUUCAAGAACCGAAUGUUUGAAGGGAAGUGCCAGUCCUUGAACCUGGUGGUGGGGGACAUCGGGUGCCUGAUGGUAGCUGCAAGAAGAUGUCAUGACCCAGAUGGUAGGGAUCUUUGAUGAUAUUGUUGCCUACUUGAGAUAG